AUAGCUGGUACAUCUUGUGGGCUUAGGCACUAGACACUCAUAUGUCAACUCAUUUAAUUUUUAUAAUAACCUAAUGAUGGGGCCACCCCAAUCCUUACUGAACACAGCCAGGAAACAAAGCUGAGAAGUUAGCUGAUUUCACAGGGCACAGAGCAAGAAUGAGGCUGGAGAAGAACCCAGGGCUCCCUGGUUUCACGGGCAGCAUUUCUACACUGCACAGCAGUGAAACGCUCUCUGGCCUGGUUUCCUAACUGAAGUGAAACCAGAUGGGACACUCUGUUGGACAUGGUCAUGACAACAAGCCCUGCUCUGGGCUAUUUACUCAUCUUUAUACGCUCUUAGGUUAAGGAAAACGUGCCGUGUGGGUGUGGAUCCCCUGCUGAAAUCUGAAAUGAUUCAGGACCUGCUCUAUGCGUGACUCCCAGAACUCCAAUUUCCUCUGCUGCAAACCAAAUCCCAUUUUCACUUGCUACAGAUACAGAGUUAGGAGGAACGGCUAGAGAUGGAAGAGACUAAUGAGAGUCAUGUUAAUCAAGUCUGAGCCAGAGGCCUCCAGUGACACCAAUGCAGGCGCAGCAAAGGACAAAUCCCACAGAUGACCCUUCCAGGCCCCUUUCCUUUGGUGGAGGCUUUGGAAGAAGACUGGCUCAACCCAAGGUAGCUGCACGUUCUGCUGAUGUCAAUAGACCCACCCACUUUUCCUCUAGAUUUUAAUAUGGUCACCUGCCUUGAUCUUCACUCUGGUCCCCCAACAAUGGCCUCCUAAAUCAGCAAAGUACUUUGGCUCCUUUUCAAUAACAAAGGCUCUAUAUGAACCUAAUGAGUGAAACUAUGAUAAAUAUUUUAUAAAUGGCAUUCCGAGGCACGGCGCACGCACACACACACACA